AUGACGUUCAGCAUCACCAGGAAAGAGAUCGAGGGGUUCUGGAGGAGGAAGGAGGAGGAGCGCCGCCUCGCCGCCGAGAAGGAGGCCGCGAGAGCCAAAGCCAAGACGCUUAAGAUGGAAGAUUAUAUGCUCUUCGAGCAAAUGAUAAGGGAGAUUCUCGAGGAGGGGAACGAAGGUGACAAGGGCAUCAACGGCAACAGAAUGAUGGUGGCAGCUUCCAGCAGGGUCGCCGAAUUACGGAUUGGGAUCAAGCACUGGUGGAAAAAAAGCACUUAUGCUUAUCUGAAUGAGCCGGCAGUGACGGCAUCAAUGGAUGACAACGGCAGAAGCAGACGCGCCGUCACUUAUAUUCCACAAGACAGAUGCCUCAAAGUCCGCUCGGCGAUUCCUGCUUCAUUUGUCAUCUUUUAG
rnacentral:rRNA from 1 species